rnacentral:lncRNA from 1 species
UUCAUGCUCACUGAAAACAUUUUGUUUGUAGACAAUAUUUGGAAAAUAUGUUUUUCUUUCCAGCCACUCGGUUCCGGGUUGAGUCCUACUGCAUAGUACCUUGAGCAAGUGUCUUCUCGUAUAACCUCGGGUCGAACAAAGCCUUAUGAGUAGAUUUAGAAGACGGAAACUGAAAGAAGCACAUCGUGUGUGUGUGUGUGUGUGUGUGUGUGUGUGUAUGUGUGUGUGUGUGUUGGGGUCUCUAUUUGUCUUCCACCACUGCUUGUCAACCAGUAAUGGUAUGUUUAGUAAAAGAGACCGCUAGAACAAGUACCAGGUUUCACAAGAAAAAAUAUGUACUGGGGUUGAUUUGUAUAACUAAAAUUCUUCAAGGCGGUGCCCCAGUAUGGCCACACUUUAAUGACUGAAACAAGUAAAAGAUAAAAAAUAAAAGUAAAGCAAGGUGGCUUGCUCCAUGACCUUAUAUUGAAACUGACAAAGUAACGCCGUGAACGAAACAACUUGGCCACUUAAAAACACACAAAACCUACUGAACUUGCUUUUUAUUUAAUUUUUGAGAUGUCGCAGCGGUGCAACGACAAUUUUGAUCCUCAAGAAAUAUAUAAAAAUAUUCAUGUUUUUUUUUUUGCAUAUUUUUGAAAAGCAAAAUUAGUUUCGCGAUGUAAUUACUUUCUGUUUAAUAAAAUUGAAAAGAAAUGUUCUCAUUUUGAAAAUGUUUGCUGUUUUAAUCUCGGAGUUAAUUUUAGAGUUCUUUUCUUUUUGUUUGUUUUUCACCCGAACUCGUGCGUUGAAGCUAAUGCAAUUACAUCAUAGAAUCAUAGAAGGACCCUUUUAGCUAUCUGAAAACACACAAAAGCUAUUAAAUUUACAGGGUGUUCGGGCAAAAUUUUACGAUUUUUUACGUCUAGUUUUUCUCAGGAACAGCUUGAAAUAUUGGUGAACAGUCAAAGUCGCUGCAAAGCAUAAAGAUUAAAGUUGUACUUAAAAAAAACAUUAGUUGACAUGGAGGACUAGAAGCCAUCUGAAUAUUGAAAAAAAGUUUCUUAUAUCGUGAUGAUUCGCGCCGGGUAUAAAAAUGCCAACAUCAUAACAGUUGUUCAAUGCGCUAUAAACAUUGUAAAGACUGUAAGACCAUGGACAGCUUCAAUGGAAACUAUGACACCUUGGCCAACAUGAAGAUGAUACACACGGACUCGAAUUUCUGGGUGGUUACCUGUCCUCAGCAUGUGUUAAUCACUGGCUAGUGAUAAAAUCUCAUUCCACUCGCAAAUUACUAUAUACUUUUCUAGCAAUUCACUGCCGCUCAUCUCGUAAAAGAUAGAGAUAUGUUAUAUUAAAUCUUUGAGCGAGAUAUCAACAGUAGCGGUACGGAAUCGUAUCAUGUAUUUGCCAACUAAGUGUGGUAUCCUAUACAGGACAGUGCUACUGCAGGAAGACAUCUCCGCCAGCUGGCUAAUGUCACACAGUCUGUGUCCGAUUAGUAUUUACGAGGGGAGGUCAUCACUCCCAUCUCUAGCCUUACGUGAUAUACAUGGACUCGAGUUUCUGGGUGGUUACCCGUCCUCAGCGUGUGUUAAUCACUGGCUAGUGAUGAAAGCUCAUUCCACUCGCUCAUUACUACAUACUUUUAAAGCGACUCACUGUCGCUGAUCUCGUAAAAGGCAGCCGCAUAUGUUCAUAUAGAUCGCUAGCCACUACGCAUUUUUUAUUUUCUCUCCCUGUGUCUUUCUGUGCUCCUUUCUAAAGAAAAGCGUAGGCACGAAACGUUAAAGACUUUUUCACUUCUCGAACGUUAAACUAAUACAUCUGUUUGUUGUUUACACCACCUGUCUUCGUCUUUUGUUGUUUGUUUUGUUAAUUCUCCCUAUAUAUAUAUAUAUAUAUAUAUAUAUAUAUAUAUAUAUAUAUAUAUAUAUAUAUAUAUAUAUAUAUAUAUAUAUAUAUAUAUAUAUAUAUAUAUAUAUAUAUCCAAAUAGUAAAAAGACAAAGUAAUCCGUUGAUACAUCUUUAAUGAUCGUUACAAUUGUUUCUGUACCAACUCUGCUUGCUUGCAACGCCAGUUUACACAAAAAUUCGAAGUGAAAAAUUAGAGUGGCAUUUCAUCAUACUAGCAUCAAAGGGCACACCUUUGGUGUACACUUGCAUUUUGCGUCUUUCGGACAUUAUUUAUUUAUUUAUUGCUUAUAUUGGGAGGGAACAAAAAGUAAAUAAAAAUGUGGUCAAAGGAUGAAUAAGAACCUAUGACUUUUGCUCUCUCUCUCUCUCUCUCUUUCACUCUCUCUCUUCUCUCUCUCUCUCUCUCUCUCUCUCUCUCUCUCUCUCUAUCUAUCUAUCUAUCUAUCUAUCUAUCUAUAUAUAUAUAUACUUUAUUUUAAGCAGCAGAAAAUUCAACAAAAUCUGUAACUCUGAGUUUCUCGUUGCCGUUCAUCAGACAGUUUUUGCUAGAAAAAACUGUCUGAUGAACGGCAACGAGAAACUCAGAGUAACAGAUUUUGUUGAAUUUUCUGCUGCUUAAAAUAAAGCAUAUUACUCUACCACUGGUAUUUGAGUACUCUUUUUCCACCUUGUUUCACAUUUAUGUGUUUACUCCGGUCUAUAUAUAUAUAUAUAUAUAUAUAUAUAUAUACAUACAUACACACGUGCAACUUUUAAAGGAUACAAAAAUGUAAGCCUAAAGGCUUAACGAACUCUUUUCCUCUUUUCCUUUUUCUUUUUCCUCCUGUCUAUAUUCCUCCGAUAAACUAAAUCAUUCUGAUGACGGUUGCUACAUGGAACGAGAUAAAUGCAAAUUUACCUCAAAAAUAACAAACUGAAACAGCUGUAAAUGUUAUUUUAACUACAAUUAAACUAUGACCAUUUAAUACUAAUGAUCAACUUGUAAUUGUUAAUUGCUGCUCCAUUUCUUUUCUUAUCUGAAUAUAUUAAACCACAGUUUAUCAUUUAAAUCACCAACUACUGACAAUCUUAUAGCAACGCCUAUACAUAGUGAGGUAAUACACCAGUAUAUCCUACAGAUACAUUUAUCCCUUAGACUGUUGCAUAACCUCUAACUCAUAAUUUUAUAUGUGUGUGUGUAUAUAUAUAUAUUUACAUGUGUUGUAUAUAGGGAUAAAUAUGUGUGAACGUAUAUGUGCGUGGGCGAACGUCAGUGUGUCGAGAAGUAUGAAGCAUAUGUUUGAGAAUGAAUAUAUGCUAAAUAUUUAGCAUAAAGAAUAUGAAUAUGGUUACAAGUAUCUAAUUGUAAAUUCAUUUACUCUGUCUGGCUGGAAAUGUCUGUACGGAAGUGUCUGCUUGUACUUAUGUUUAUACAUAUGCCUACGUGAAUGUGCAUAGUUUUAUAUAUAUAUAUAUAUAUAUAUAUAUAUAUAUAUAUAUAUAUAUAUAUAUAUAUAUAUAUAUAUAUAUAUAUGUAUACAUUAUAUAUAUAUAUAUAUAUAUAUAUAUAUGUAUAUAUAUGUAUAUAUAUAUAUAUAUAUAUAUAUAUAUAUAUAUAUAUAUAUAUAUAUAUAUGUAUAUAUAUGUAUAUAUGUAUAUAUAUAUAUGUAUGUAUGUAUGUAUAUAGUUAUAAAUUAUUUAAGUGGCUGGUCGUAAUUUAAAACGAAAACACACAAGUAAAAAGCGUCACUAGAAGUGACUAAAGGUGCAAGUCAGUGCCAAUAUUGCUAGAAAUAAGAGUCAAGGCAACUCAUAGCCACGAACAGAACAUUUUGUGUUCACAGAACACUAUCUAUUGACUGACAAAAGAGACAACCUACCUACCACCAUUUGUGACAUUAAUCCGUCGCCCAGCAUUAAGCUAACUCGACUUGUCAGUUUAUAGAAAGCACCAUACGACAUACGAAUCAGUAUCUGAUUCAGUAAAAUGGCGCAGUGACAAUUAUAAAUCAUUUAUGUUUAUAUAUGUAGGGUCAGUUGGGCACCGUCUGUGAGAAAAACAGCACCAUGACGCAAUCCACUCCGUCACAAAUUUGGAAAUGGCAUGCUUGGCAUUCAUGCCAGAAGCUCCAAUAUGAACAUUUCAAAGUGUUUGGCUGUCAAUCUGAGGACAGUUCAAUCUGAGGACAUGUAACAAGAGUGAUAAAAAUCAAACAUCGAGUCAACAUCAUAGUGUUUGGAGCGAUCACUAGUGUUAGCGACUUUAUGCCUAGAGGAGAUAGUGCUACCCUGGUGUCAAGAGGGUGGCUGCUGGAAGACCUUAUGUCUGGCAACAGGAUUCUGCACCAUGCCACACAAGCAGGACAACCCAGUCAUGGCUGUCAGAUAAUUCAUGUAACCACAUCACCCCUAACAGCUGGCCACCUCACUCCCCAGACUGCAACCCCUUGAUUAUUAUGUGUUGAAUACAGUUGAAUGAGGGACCAGCAAAACUCCUUGUAACACCAAAGAUGAACUGAAGGCACAGAUUAUGGAAGCAUUCACCAGCUUAAACAAGCAGACCAUCUAGAAAAGUUGCUGGAGAUUCCGAAGUUGUCUAAACUUCAUUGGAGCCAAUGACGAUUUUAUUGAAUAAGGAUGUUUUCAUGUAAUUUUGGUAAAUAUAUCUGUUAAAAUGAGAUGUCAGUGUUAUUUUCAUAUUUGUGUAAUUUAGACAACAGUUUAUUCACCGGACCCUAUUCAUACACACACACACAUACACACACACACAUACACACACACAUACACACACACACACACACACACACACACACACACACACACACACACACACACACACAGAUACGAGAGAACAAGAGAAAAGUUUUUAGCUUUUCAUAGUGCAAAUAUUUUAUGUACACCACUUAACAAGAGUCUUAUUUCCCUCACACAACUGACUCUUUUCAUCCUUAAGUACUGCUUCUUCCGGUUUACCAAACUUUCAGAAUUUUUUCUUAAUAUUCUUUAAUUGCCUUCAUACUUCUAUUACAAUAUAAAUUGGCUUCAUUAAAACAUUAAUUUAUUUCCCAUAAAUUCAAUCAUGUAUCCACCGAGGAACAUGUCCCCUGGUGUGGUGGAACUCUCUCUCUCUCCCUCUCUCUCCCUCUUCCUGCUCUCUCCCUCCCACUCUCUCUCUUCCUCUCUCUCCCUCUUUCUCUCUCCAUUCUUGGUUCUCCACUCAUCAUCAUCUAACUUGGUCCUUACCUUCGUUUCUUGGUUUCUAAGCAAUAUUUGGAUGGCAUUGCAUUUUUAAAAAUAUAUAUAUUCUAAAUUCUUGGACAUAAUCAUCGUAACUUAUUGUUCUGGAUGCUGCUGCUGCUGCUGCUGCUGCUGAUGAUGAUGAUGAUGAUGAUGAUGAUCAAAGUGACAAUGACUAUGUUGAUAGUUGCUGUCAUCAGAACUUGAGUGCCUCUUCUUCUUCUUCUUCUUCUUCUUCUUCUUCUUCCUUCUCCUCCACCACCACCUCCUCCUUCUCCUCCUUCUCCUUCUCCUCCACCUCCUCCUCCUAUGUCUGCAUAGUUAUGUAUAUAGGUAUGCAUAACAUAUAUAUAUAUAUAUAUAUAUAUAUAUAUAUAUGUAUAUGUAUAUGUAUAUGUAUAUAUAUAUAUAUAUAUAUAUAUAUAUAUCUAUCUAUCUAUCUAUAUAUAUAUUGAUAAAACGGUAAGAUAACAAAAGAAAGAAAGAGACCUCAAUAUCAUGUAAAUAGAGGAAAUUUAUCUAUACAAUAUGUUACAUUACUCGGUAGUCAAGAUAAAACUCUGAGUUUCAGAUGCCGAAGUGGAAAUCCACAACACCAUCUCUUCGGUUAUCUGGCUAUUUGAAAACGUUUUGAAAAAAUACCGUUAAAUAAAGGGAAAUUACUCUGUUAUAACUCUGCUUGCCUGCGUACUUAUACAUCGCUCGCAUUUUUCGUCAUAAAAAUUAUAUAAAAAUACAUAAAAAAUAUAUAAAAAAUAUAUAAAAAUAUAUAAAUUCUUCUUGGGACAUAACAUAGAAAGCAUGUUCUAUCUGUUUUCUUUAGGGGACCAAAAACGUAACAGAAACUUAGUCACAUGUGGGCAUGAUCCGAAAAGCUCUGUCCUUGUAUUUAGACAUGUAGUGGAUUUCCACUUCGGCAUCUGAAACUCAGAGUUUUAUCUUGACUACCGAGUAAUGUAACAUAUUGUAUAGAUAUCUAUCUAUAUAUAUAUAUAUAUAUAUAUAUAUAUAUAUAUAUACAUAUACAUAUAUAUAUAUUCAUAUAUUUGUAUACAUAUGUAUGCAUAUAUACGUAUAUACACAUAUAUGAGUAUGUAUGUAUAUAUAUGGGUGUGUGUGUGUGUGUGUAUACUGAUAUUUACGCAUAUAUAUGUGCAUAUUUAUAUAUAUAUAUAUUUACAUGAACAUAUAUUUGUAAGCUAAAUAAUUGACAUAACCAUACACAUAGUAAAAUUUCUUUUCCCCUGUCCUUCCCUCUGCAAUCGUUUUUGUUCCAACCAUUUUUCUUUUUUCUCCCUCCUUCUUUAAUUUUCUUCAGUUUUCUUCGGAUGAAGCAGCCGAGUCCGAAACGUCAAACUUCUUCCAUUCCUUUUAACUGUCAAUCUAUUGCAACAUUUUUCAAAUCUUUCCCCACCCGUAUUGAUUCCUUUCAUUCUGAUUUCAUUGCCUUCACAACAUAUGCAUGUGUAUAUGUGACUGUAUGUGUUUGAGGGUUUUGCGGGAUUGUGUGUGCAACUGGCAUGUGUGUUAUAUAAAUAUUUUUUGUGUAGGCUGGAUGUUUACAUAAACCUACAACCCAUACAUACAAGUACUCUAAAACUCAAUUGUACAUAAAAAAAAAAUGAACCACCGUACAUGCACGCACACACACACACACACGUGCACGCGCGCUUACACAAAAACCACAUACACAUACCUAAAAACUCUCUGCUGUGACCACUUCCAAAUAUUCCGCUCAUAAGCUUUCACUACUUACAAGGAAGUCAACACUUAAGCUGUGUGGCUCUUUCGUGAAACUGAUUUACAUUGACAAAUAAUGUAUGGAGUUCAUUGGUGUUUUUGCCUUUCUUUUUAACAUAUGAUACUUUUCUAAUAUUGUUUGCCUGUUUGAGGAUUAUAUCGAAGAAUAUAUAUCAUAAAACCUUUUUGUUUCCUUUAUCACGUCCUGUACUUUGGUUGUAUCAUUAAUGUGUGUGUGUGUGUUUGUGUGUGUGUGUGUGUGUGUGUGUGUGUGUGUGUGUGUGUGUGUGUGUGUGUGUGUGUGUGUGUGUGUGUGUGUGUGUGCAUUUUUGUACGUUGGUGUAUAUGUAUGAAUGUAAAAAUCGUCCAAAAGCUGAAAACACAAAAAGGAUGAGCUAAAAAUUGAGACAAAAAAAAAAGAUGAGAAAAAAUAAAUGGAAUCAAAUUAUGGAAUUAUGAAAUUCUUCGCAAAUGAUAUUAAUUAAUUGUUGAUGAUUAAAAAGAUUUUUAUAAGGUAAUAAUGGCAUUUUGUGAGUGUGUGUGUGUGUGGUGUGUGUGAGUAUGUGUAUACAUAUGAAUACAUAUAUAUAUAUGUCACACACUCAGGCACACAUACACAUAUGCACACACUUAUAUACAUAGGGUAAAGGCCCCCUUCGAUCAUGAAUGACCAUAGGAUUGCACCCGGGAUGUUCCCCUCUCAGGUACAAGUCUGUGCAAGGUUGUUUAUGGAAGACCAGCAGUCACCUAUGCAUACCAGCCUCUCCUGUCCAUGCUGUCCAAGGGAAAGUUAAAGGCUGAUCAAUAUGGCUUGGCACCUGUGACGUCGCAACUCAUUUCUACAGCUGAGUGAAUUGGAGCAACGUGAAAUAAAGUGUCUUGCUCAAGAGCACAACAAACAGUCUCAUGAUUGUGAGUCUGAUGCUCUCACCAUUGAGCCAUGUGCCACAUUUAUAUGUGUGUAUACACGCAGGCAUACAUGCACAUGCGCACAUAUUCCUUCUAAAAGGAAAUGAAUGUGCUUGACGCCUGACACAUUUGCUCUUUGGUUUGUGACUCUUAACCCUCUCUGAUCUUGGACCCUGCGUCUAACUUUAAACUUCACCUGGUCUCCUGACUCCCAAAAUAAAUAUUUACCUAUACAUCCCAGGUGUAAUGGUUGCAAACAAAGUAAUGGACAGAAUCUGCUGUGUCUACUUUUUCUGCGUGUUGUUCAUUACAGCUUUACAGGGAAUCCGGCAGAAGUGACCUUUAACCUAUUUCCGCAAUAGCAGGAAUACAGUGUGACAGCGUGAAUAAUCAUCACAUCAAACUACUGCUGUUGUGUGAUUCCUAAGGGUUGUAUGUGGUCUAAGGAGAGCUGUAACAAACUAUAAGAAGCAAUUCAAGAAUGGGACAAAAAAACAUGGGGCUUCCUUUUACAGGGAGGUGCAAUGGCCUAGUGGUUAGGGAAGUGGACUCGCGGUUGGAGGAUCGCAGUUUCGAUUCCUAGAUCAAGUGUUGUGUGUGUUUAUUGAGCGAAAACACCUAAAAGCUCCACGAGGAUCCGGCAGGGGGUGGUGACCCCUGUUGUACUCUUUCGCCACAACUUUCUCUCACACUCACUUCCUGUUUCUUAAGUAAUCCUGCGAUGGACUGGCGUCCCAUCCAGCCGGGGGGGAACAAAUAUGCUACAGAAACUGGGAAACCGGGUCCAUGAGCCUGGCUAGGCUUGAAAAGGGCGACAUUUAUCGUAUCGUUUUUUUCCUUUUACUACAUCUGUUAGAUAAACGCCGUGUACAACUCCUAAUAAUUUCUCAAAUGUACUUGAACUGGUCUCAAGUUUGUUUAUCCUCCAUUACUUCAUGAAACUACUCACGAUAUACAUACAUACAUGCACCCAUACAUACACACAUACAUGCAUACAUACAUACAUACAUACACACAUAUUUAUACUACUGACUAGUCUGUAUUACCACGAUUGCCUGAUAGAUGGUUACGUGAAACCUUGAAUAAUAGUUCAUGAAGUUUUUUUCCGGCUUUAAUGAAAUAGUAAUUUACUCCACAUUUGUUAUCCGAGUGCUAUGUUUUCCAUCUUGUUUUUCAUCUCAGUGCUUACUUGUGUGAGUGUAUGUGUGUGCAUGUGUGUGUAUGUGUACAAAUGUGUGUGUUAUAUCAAUUGAUGACUGGAUGUGUCUUGCACUAUACUAAAAUAAAGCUGAAUAUAUCUGUAUAUAGAAACAAAUUUAUAAUAACAAUAAUAGUUAUAAUGAUAAUAAUAAUAAUAAUAAUAAUAAUAAUAAUAAUAAUAAUAAUAAUAAUAAUAAUAAUAAUAAUAAUAAUAAGAAGAAGAAGAAGAAGAAGAAGAAGAAGAAGAAGAAGAAGAACAACAACAACAACAACAACAACAAUAAUAAUAAUAGUAAUAAUACAAAAGAUGUGGUACCUUAAAGUGAGAACUGUUCCUGUUAUUUUGGGUGUCCUAGGUAUGAUAAAAAAUGGAUGUCAGAAACAUUUAGAUAAUAUCCCAGAAGAACCAUGUCUCAGAGAAAUCCAAAAGUUUGUGCUGACAAGUACUGCCCACAUCUUUAGAAAAACCCUAUCAAUUUAAAUAUCUGGGCUGUAUUACAUGAAGAUACUUUGCUACUGCCCCCCACCAACGCCACUUCCCCUCCCCAGGCUUUAAGUUGUACUGCAGCAUCUCAUACCCUUCACUCACCCUAGGACGCUGGGUGUGCUUCAGCAAGUGACAGUAACAAACAUGCAGAUUAAAAGUAAAUAAUAAUAGGAAUAAUAAUAAUAAUAAUAAUAAUAAUAAUAAUAAUAAUAAUAAUAAUAAUAAUAAUAAUAAAAUCUGAAUUAGAUGAAGAACCUGAAACCACUGCCACUAGAUAAACAAAACGGAUCAAGCAGACUGCAAAAAAGAAAUGGCAGAAACAAAGUGAGGAGCGUUGGAGCCAGAAGCCUCUGCAUGGGCAGUAUAUACUUCGAAGUCAAAAUGCUGAUGUAGACCAAGCAACAACCCAUCAGUGGCUGAGAAGUUCAGGACUGAAAGUGAAGACUGACAGCUUCAUAUUUGCAAGCCAAGGUCAAAGCUUGCUUACCAAAAUCUACCAGGCUAUCGAUCUUUAAAAUGGUAUUGAUCCUAAGUGCAGAUUCUGCGACACAU